AACUUUCAACAACGGAUCUCUAGGUUCUCGCAUCGAUGAAGAACGCAGCGAAAUGCGAUAAGUAGUGUGAAUUGCAGAUUUCAGUGAAUCAUCGAAUCUUUGAACGCACAUUGCGCCGUGAGGGAGACCUCCGGCAUGCCUGUUUGAGAGUCA
rnacentral:rRNA from 1 species